GCUGGGCAUGGUGGCGGGUGCCUGUAAUCCCAGCUACUCGGGAGGCUGAGGCAGGAGAAUCGCUUGAACCCGGGAGGCAGAGGUUGCAGUGAGCUGAGAUUAUGCCACUCUACUCCAGCCUGGGUGACAGAGCGAGAUUCUGUCCCAA
ensembl:misc_RNA Metazoa_SRP Metazoan signal recognition particle RNA